rnacentral:lncRNA from 1 species
AUUCCGGAAUUCAUUUCCCAGUGACUUUUACUCAGGAUCACACGGUUACUAUUAUCACUGGAACGUGGUCCCAUCUAAAUUCUGGGCAGAAGCUCUAGUCACUUUCCUCCUGGAGUCACAAUUUCCUCAUUCAUUUCUCCAUUCAUUAGCUGGCCUCUGGGCUCUAGUCUACUUAACACCCCUAUAGCCCAGUUUCCUCACCUGCAAAAUGGGAAUAAGAAUUAGUUACCAUCUAGGGUUGUCGUAUGGGUUCAGUGAUACACUGCGUGUACCUAGCAUGGUGCCUGGCAGUCUGAGUCCUCAAUCAAUGUUUGGUGCACGUUAUUAUUUGUAUUAUAUUAGUCCACAGACUUUGACUAAAUGCCACUGGUACCAUUCUGGGCCCUGGAGAGUGGAAGUUGAAGGAGACAGGACGUUGCCUGUGGUCCUGUGGGAGGGGAGUCCAGGCUGUGAUGGUUCAGGAUAGGUGGUAAGUGGGGGAAAAAGGUAAGAAUGAGCUGCCAAGGCAGCUGGGGGAGGGGCACCUACCUAAAGCCAGUGGGCAGAGAGGGCUUCUGGAGGAGGUGCCUCCUGAGGGAGACUUGAAGGAUACUUUAGAGAAGGAGAUAGUCUUCCUGUCAGAGGGAAUCGUAGAGUGAAGAUAUCAAAACACCCUGAAGCUUUACAAGUGCUUUAUGUAGGCCUAAGUGCCUGGAGCAUAGACAGGGCUCUUCGAUGGGGAGUUGCAGGCAAUGUGUCUAGAAAGUCCAGCCCCUCAGGAAGUGCUUCGGGAGGGAGAUAAAAGGCUUGGAUUUUGUGCCGAAGGUCAGAGGGAAAUACUUAAUGGGUUUUCGUAGGGAAGUGGCAUGGCCUGAUUGAUUGGCUUCUGGGUGGAGGGUGGGCUGGGUAGAUGGAGAGCCUGGCCAGGAAGACACAGGAGUCAUGCAGCAGAGCUCUGAACAGAGGGAGAACGGGGAGGGUAGCUGUGCUGAGGGAGAGCUGGCAUGCUUCUGAGAGCUUAAGAAGCUAAAAUCUCUAGAACUGGGUAAUAACAGGACACAGGAGGAGUUGGGGGAUGUAUCCACACCCAGCUCAGGCCUUCAGUGACCCAUGAACGAUCCUUCACAGAGGAUCAUGUGCCAUGUUGGAGGUGGGACAGCCUAUGGACAUGACCAAGAGGCACCUGGGCCUCCACCCCUUGGGCCCUAGGGGAGCUCUGGGCAGGUGAAGUGCAUCACCCAUACCAAGGUACUGACCGAGGAAACAGGGUGGAUGUAGUCACCUAGGGCGAGGGAAAUGGCAAUGGAAGAUGGCUGAGUCCAGAGUUCCAGUAACAGCAAGAUGAAAGGAAUAGAAGGAGGCAGAGAAGUCAACAAGAAGGUAGGAAGGAGAGGCCAAGCUGGUAGGAGGAAACCCACGGGCAAAGGGAUGUUAUGAAGAGGGUGUCAUGAAGGAGGAGUGGCCGCUGGUGCUGGGUGCCCCUGAGAGGUGGGUGGAGGUGAGGACCCACACGUGGCCCCUGGAUGUACAGUGCAGGGAGACGUCGGCGACAGAGGCGAGGACAGCAUCAGUAGGGAUGAGGACUGAGGAUGGAAGCUGAGGAUGAAAGACGGAGGCUGCAGGUUCUCCCGUUAGAGAUGCUGACAAUUAAGCAGGCAGCUCUGGGAGCAGCUGGGAGUGUGUGUAAACACAGCCAGGGCACCGCCUAGAUCUUCAGAGCCUGAAUCUUCAGGGGCGGAGCCUGAGAACCUAGUUUGGAAAGGCUCCCUGGGUGAUUCUGCAGAGAGAACUCCGCAUGGCUAGAGGCCCGUACACUGGGCUUAGUGUCAGGAACCUCGGGUCUAAAUCCAGCAGCCAUCCCCGUGAGCGGGAAACCAGAGUGGGAUCUGGAUUUGAUUGUGGGUCUGCCUCUCCCCAUCUGUGUGGCUGGGCAAAGGCUUAACUGCUUCUGUUCCAGCCCCUUGCUCUGAAAACAGGCAGCUAAUCACCACCUCAGGGUUACUGUGGGGUCCUGAUGAGAAACCAAACCAAAAAUGUUUGGCUUGUUCCAAGUGCCCACUGCUGCUAAUUUUAAUAUUGCUGUUCUCUGCAUGACCUUGGGCAUUUUUUGCAACCUUCUGGACUCUCAUUUCAUCAUUUGUAAAGCAGGAGUGGUAGUCUCUUACUCAGCAGGUGGAGGACUGGUGUGUCUGUGUCUGGGGAAGUCCAGGUGGGUGCUCGGCGACCAUGCAUUACGUGCCUUAGUUCAUGCAGGACUUGUACCCACAGAUCGUCACUGGUUAGGAAGGCUGUCCUCGGGGGCCGCCCAAGGCUCCCCUCUGCCCCUUCAGGCACUGGCGGGGUGUGUUAUCAUGUAGGGUCCUGAGAUUUCUACAGCUUCGCCCUCAACACCCUGGUGUUGGUUCUGGUGGCAGACUCUGUGGAAGCAGUGGUCAAGGCUGGGCGAUCGAAGGCCAGUCACGGACCAGCAGCCAUCCCAGUCUCAGCCCUUCCUGGGGCUGAGGGUGCUGGUAUACUUUCAGAAUACAGGGCAACCCCCGGUUUCAUGAGAGACAGACAAUCCAGGGACAGGGUCUGUGCGUGUCCUAAACCUCGGGAAGUCAGGAGGAGAGGAUGAGGUUUCUGUUCAUGCUGGCAGGAAGAUGUCCAAGAUCUGCCUUCUGGCUUUUGCCCAGCCAGGGCCUGGGAGCCACGUGGAAGGUGGACAGCUUGGCAGCUCCCUCCGCCUGGCCCAGGAUGAAGGGGGCGAUGAAGGGGAAAAGGAGGGCUGGACAGCAAGAUGGUUCAGGGACCUGCUUUCUGUUUUCUGCUGUUCUGGCAACACAGUCACCCCACCACCAUUCCUGUUCAUAGCUCGCUGCUCUAUUAGGGCUAAAGUCAGCAGGAUGGGCCCCUUUGGGAUCUGAGUCACAGAUGAGGAGCUGUGACAGCGAGCAGUAUUUGCUCAACGCUCUGCAGUUCACAGAGCACUUUCCCUCAGGUUGGAUCAUUUGAUCCUGAUAGCCGCUCAGGGCAGGAGGCCCCGCAAGGAAGAACAUCCCCACUUUAUAGCCCGGGAACCAUUGGCUUUGAGAGACGAACCUGCGCAUGUGUGUCAGGGUCUGGACUCCAGUCCAAGAACAUCUGGCUCCAAAGCCAGUGCUCUUUCCACCAGCCCAGGAGGUGUUUUACACACAGUAGCCCUGGACUGAGGCAGAGCACGGGUUCUUUUUCAUGACGUGGCCACAGCUCUGCUCUGUGGCCUGAGACAAGUCACUGACCUGCUCUGGGCUUGAGUCAGCUUCUCUGACACAGAGCUUGGAGUGAAAAGUCAAGACCCUCCCUUCCAAGUGGACCAGCUGCUGUCUUAAUGCUGGAGGCACUCUGAGCUUUCAGAUGCUCCAGAGUUAACCCUGGAAGGGUUAGUUACAGCCCUGAAUCCUAGACUCCCCCCAGAACCCUAGGGAAAUAUAUGUGACCCGAAAGCCCUUUACAGCUCUGAGAAAGCCGUGAUGAACCAUCUGUGAAGAGAAGUCUGAUUUAGGGGAGAUGUCACUGAUCACCAGCAGGGCGGCGCCAUCCUCCUCACCAGCUCCCUGCCUCUAUGCCCAAACACUCCCUGGACAGUACUCCCCCUGGCCUCUCUACCCAUCCUAGGCUCUUCUUCUGUAGCAUCUACUGAAGGUUUUAGGCUGAAUAGACCACCCUUAUUCCUCUGAUUUGCUGUGGUUCCCCAGGGACUGUACCGAAGUGGGAACACAGUACCAUUGUGCAAUGCAUCGGAAACAGCAUUACGCAUCUCCUCAUGGCUUUUCUGUCCACCAGGGCUCAGCUGAGUGGGGUCUUCACUUCCCAGAGGGACCCGUUCUUUUCCUCCUGGGCAUCGUUUUCCCUUUGGGAGACUGACUUUGGUUUCCGAAGUUUACAAUCACUGAAAAUCCAAAAGAAUUUUUUUUUUUAAUUUCCUAAGAUGGGGAAUUUAUCUUUAAGAUGUUUUAAAAUGAUUUUUAUUUUUUCCAUUAUAGCUGGCUUACAGUGUUCUGUCAAUUUUCUACUAUACAGCAAAGUGACCCAGUCACACAUAUAUAGAGAGAGAAUUUUUUUUUUAGAGAGAAGGGAAAAACCCCUUCUCCUCUAUAAGUCACCUAUGCCAGGCUCUUGGCCAACUGGAAAGACAGAGGGCAGCUCAGCCCAACUUCCCCUGAGCUCAAGGAGAGCCCAUCUGACUUUCUGGGCGCCUGGGUGGUCUCCCUAGCUCUGCCAAGCAAAGGAAAACUGGGCUUCCCCAGGGCCAGUACCUUGGCCUAGAGUCCACUUCUUUUAGUUUCUUUUGGUACCUUCGACCUUUUGGCUCAACACGCGGAUUAAGAAGAGGGGCCUAAGGAAUAAACUCUCUCCAGCCGCCACUCGGAUUAGUCUGGAAUUAGGCCACUGCUGUCAAUUUUAUUUGGUGAUCCCAGUUGGCUCUCCAAAUUAUACCUGUAAUUUGGUGCACUCCAUGUAUUACAGUCUGUCAGAGAAAUCCUAUAAUUAUUUUUUAAGUGACAAAAUUUUAAGGAAUAGCUCAAUAAAUGGAGCUAAAUUUAGAGCACCAUCUCUGUACAAUGGAACGUGGCGGGAGUCAGAGAUAUGAUCAGUGGCUGGUAGAAGAAGAAUUUUGUUACCAUCCAAAAGGUGGCAGCAAAAAUUACCUCAAUUAACUUAACAAGAAGCCCGUCCUCCUCUGCCAGCCUGCCCAGGAGCCCUGGCACACACCUUGUCCCUUCCCUGCCAGGAUUCCGUGCCUUCCUCACCGAGCUGUCCCCGGCGCCAUCUGCUGCUCCCGUCUGGGGCCGAUGCCCAGGCCCCAGUUGUGUCCUGCCUCCUCCCUGAGAUCCUGCAGCUCAGCAUUCCAGAAGGAGCAGGGUCAGGAGUUCACGCCUCAAAGAAAUCUCAGCACAGAUCAAUGUUUUAUGGGGAAGCCAGAGAGAGGAGCAAGGGCCUGCCUCCUCCCUGUACAGACGGCACAGAAAAUGCGAUUUUUCCCCAAACCCCAGAAGGGAAGGUCUCAGGAGAAUCUGCAUACGUACCUCCUCUAUCUAUCCAUCCAAGCUUUUAUUUUUGAGAACCUGCUCUGUGCUGGAUGUUCGUGAAUGACUUAGAUGCACAAAUAGAUCGAUUCAGUAUUUAUUUAGCCCUUCCUGUGGGUUACACAUCCUUCUAGGUUCCCGGUUUCCAGCAGUGAACAAAGCAGAAGGCCCUGUCUGCACGUAGCUCCAUUCUAAUGGGGUAAGUCUGUCAGCAGGCUACAUGGGGAGAGUAUGUGCUUGGUUUGAUGGUAGUAAGUGCUAAGGUGAAAGAUAAAGUGGGAUAAAGGAGGCAAAGAGUGACAGGGGCUGUGACAGCUUCAGACAGGGCAGCCAGAGAGGACCUUGCUGAGAAAGCCACAUCUGGGUGGGAACCGAGGGAGGCCAGGCAGACCCUGAUGCUUCAUGGAGGACACAAGUUGCAAGCAGAGGGAAUAAACAACAGGCUGAAAGACCUGGGUGGGAAAUGUUAAGAGGGCUGAGUGAAUGUUAGGGGUCCCUGUUUGAGAGGGCCAGGAGGUACUGAAGAAGGGACAUGUGGGGUUCCUAUCGUGGCUCAGCAGAAGUGACUCUGACUAGCAUCCAUGAGGACGAAGGUUUGAUCCCUGGCCUCUCAGUGGGUUAAGGAUCUGGUGUUGCCAUGAGCUGUGGUGUAGGUUGCAGACACGGCUCGGAUCUGGCGUUGCUGAGGCUGUGGUGUAGGCCAGCAGCUAUAGCUCCGAUUUGACCCCUAGCCUGGGAACCUCCAUAUGCCGCAGGUGCAGC